CAGAUAAUAGCACGAAUGGGAGCUACUACAUCAUCCCAAGGAUCCACAUGGAAAAUUCCCCAUCGGAGCUGGCAGUAUGACUAAAGACCAUGGAAUUAACUCUGCCGGGGAUCCUUUGGUGCAAUGUUAACCCCCAGAGGGGAGCUGUGCCCAAGGAAGCAGUAAAAGGGCGAAUGCAGUGACUAGCUGAAGCCCCCGUCUUUGCAGUGUGAGGACAGCCUUUCAAACCGCGCUGGCAGAAGCUCGUCUCCCCCUCACUGAGUCCAUCACAGUUCCGUGGGCCUUUCUCUGCCCAG